UCGACGGUUGUUUUUCCAGAGG
rnacentral:miRNA from 1 species